GUGGGGAAUCUUAGACAAUGGGGGAAACCCUGAUCUAGCCAUGCCGCGUGAGCGAUGAAGGCCUUAGGGUUGUAAAGCUCUUUCAGAGGGGAAGAUAAUGACGGUACCCUCAGAAGAAGCCCCGGCUAACUCCGUGCCAGCAGCCGCGGUAAUACGGAGGGGGCUAGCGUUGUUCGGAAUUACUGGGCGUAAAGCGCACGUAGGCGGACCAGAAAGUCAGGGGUGAAAUCCCGGGGCUCAACCCCGGAACUGCCUUUGAAACUCCUGGUCUUGAGGUCGAGAGAGGUGAGUGGAAUUCCGAGUGUAGAGGUGAAAUUCGUAGAUAUUCGGAGGAACACCAGUGGCGAAGGCGGCUCACUGGCUCGAUACUGACGCUGAGGUGCGAAAGCGUGGGGAGCAAACAGGAUUAGAUACCCGUGUAGUCC
rnacentral:rRNA from 1 species